AUUGAACGCUGGCGGCAUGCCUUACACAUGCAAGUCGAACGGUAACAGGUUAAGCUGACGAGUGGCGAACGGGUGAGUAAUGUAUCGGAACGUGCCCAGUCGUGGGGGAUAACUGCUCGAAAGAGCAGCUAAUACCGCAUACGACCUGAGGGUGAAAGCGGGGGAUCGCAAGACCUCGCGCGAUUGGAGCGGCCGAUAUCAGAUUAGGUAGUUGGUGGGGUAAAGGCAUACCAAGCCUACGAUCUGUAGCUGGUCUGAGAGGACGACCAGCCACACUGGGACUGAGACACGGCCCAGACUCCUACGGGAGGCAGCAGUGGGGAAUUUUGGACAAUGGACGCAAGUCUGAUCCAGCCAUGCCGCGUGCGGGAAGAAGGCCUUCGGGUUGUAAACCGCUUUUGUCAGGGAAGAAAAGGUUCUGGUUAAUACCUGGGACUCAUGACGGUACCUGAAGAAUAAGCACCGGCUAACUACGUGCCAGCAGCCGCCGUAAAAC
rnacentral:rRNA from 1 species